UACGUAGGGCGCAAGCGUUGUCCGGAAUUAUUGGGCGUAAAGAGCUCGUAGGCGGUUUGUCGCGUCUGCUGUGAAAAUCCGGGGCUCAACCCCGGACUUGCAGUGGGUACGGGCAGACUAGAGUGUGGUAGGGGAGACUGGAAUUCCUGGUGUAGCGGUGAAAUGCGCAGAUAUCAGGAGGAACACCGAUGGCGAAGGCAGGUCUCUGGGCCGCUACUGACGCUGAGAAGCGAAAGCAUGGGGAGCGAACAGG
rnacentral:rRNA from 1 species